rnacentral:rRNA from 1 species
CGGGAAAAGCUCAAAUUUGAAAUCUGGCAGUCCUUGUGGCUGUCCGAGUUGUAAUUUAGAGAAGUGUUACCCGUGCUGGACCGUAUACAAGUCCUCUGGAAUGGGGCGUCAUAGAGGGUGAGAAUCCCGUCUUUGAUACGGACUACCAGUGCUUUGUGGUGCGCUCUC